rnacentral:rRNA from 1 species
CAAAAACAUAGCUAUAUGAAUUGAUAUAUAGUAUUUUCUGCUCAAUGAAUAAUUAAAUAGCCGCAGUACCCUGACUGUGCUAAGGUAGCGCAAUCAAUUGACUUUUGAAUGAAGUCCUGUAUGAAAGAAAACAUGAAGGGCUACUUUUUUAUUUAUAAUAAAUGAAUUUACUUAAGAAGUGCAAAUUCUUCUUAAUAAAUAAUAGACGAGAAGACCCUAGAAAUUUUGAGAGGGACUUUUUGUUGGGGCAACAAAGUAGUAUAAUAAAUCUACUAUUAAAACAAGRAAAGUAUAUUUGGAAAGGAUAAAUUACUCUAGGGAUAACAGCAUAAUUUGGAAAAGUUUGUGACCUCGAUGUUGGAUUAGGGAAUUUACGUUUAGAAGAUAAAUUAUAAGCUCUGUUCGAG